GAUGAACGCUAGCGAUAGGCUUAACACAUGCAAGUCGAGGGGCAGCAUGGUCUUAGCUUGCUAAGACUGAUGGCGACCGGCGCACGGGUGCGUAACGCGUAUGCAACUUGCCUCACAGAGGGGGAUAACCCGUCGAAAGACGGACUAAUACCGCGUACACUCCAUCUUGGGCAUCCAAGGUAGAGGAAAUGAAAUUCGCUGUGAGAUAGGCAUGCGUCCCAUUAGCUAGUUGGUGAGGUAACGGCUCACCAAGGCGACGAUGGGUAGGGGAACUGAGAGGUUGAACCCCCACACUGGUACUGAGACACGGACCAGACUCCUACGGGAGGCAGCAGUGAGGAAUAUUGGUCAAUGGGCGAGAGCCUGAACCAGCCAAGUCGCGUGAAGGAUGACUGUCUUAUGGAUUGUAAACUUCUUUUAUACGGGAAUAACAAGAGUCACGUGUGACUCCCUGCAUGUACCGUAUGAAUAAGCAUCGGCUAACUCCG
rnacentral:rRNA from 1 species